UGGUGAGAAGCACAGCGGUUGUGCGUUCGGCUGUUAAUCGAUUGGUCGCAGGUUCGAAUCCUGCCUUGCCCGCCA
rnacentral:tRNA from 1 species